UACGUAGGGGGCUAGCGUUGUCCGGAAUCAUUGGGCGUAAAGCGCGUGUAGGCGGCCCGGUAAGUCCGCUGUAAAAGUCGGGGGCUCAACCCUCGGAUGCCGGUGGAUACUGUCGGGCUUGAGUACGGAAGAGGCGAGUGGAAUUCCUGGUGUAGCGGUGAAAUGCGCAGAUAUCAGGAGGAACACCAAUUGCGAAGGCAGCUCGCUGGGACGUUACUGGCGCUGAGACGCGGAAGCGUGGGGAGCAAACAGG
rnacentral:rRNA from 1 species